rnacentral:rRNA from 1 species
CUUUCCCUCUUUCUUUAGGCCUAACACAUGCAAGUCGAACGGCAGCACAGUAAGAGCUUGCUCUUACGGGUGGCGAGUGGCGGACGGGUGAGGAAUACAUCGGAAUCUACUUUUUCGUGGGGGAUAACGUAGGGAAACUUACGCUAAUACCGCAUACGACCUACGGUUGAAAGCAGUGGAUCUUCGGACCUUGCGCGAUUGGAUGAGCCGAUGUCGGAUUAGCUAGUUGGCGGGGUAAAGGCCCACCAAGUCGACGAUCCGUAGCUGGUCUGAGAGGAUGAUCGGCCACACUGGAACUGAGACACGGUCCAGACUCCUACGGGAGGCAGCAGUGGGGAAUAUUGGACAAUGGGCGCAAGCCUGAUCCAGCCAUACCGCGUGGGUGAAGAAGGCCUUCGGGUUGUAAAGCCCUUUUGUUGGGAAAGAAAAGCAGCAGGUUAAUACCCCGCUGUUCUGACGGUACCCAAAGAAUAAGCACCGGCUAACUUCGUG